rnacentral:tRNA from 1 species
UCCCUGGAGGACUAUUGGUAAGGCCUUGGCACUCUCACCGCCAUGGCCCAGGUUCGAUUCAUGGUCAGGAAA